rnacentral:misc_RNA from 1 species
ACACCUCAACUCUCGUGGUCCGCCGCGAUGAGCUUGGACUUUGGGGGUCUUGCCGGCCUAGCGUCGGCUCCUCUCAAAUGGAUCAGCCUGCCAGUGUUUGGUGGCAUCACGGGUGUGAUAACUAUCUACGCUUGUGGUUUUCCACCAUGUAACCUUCAGCGAUGGAGGUUCGCUGGGGCUCACAGAUGUCUCUCCUCGGUGAGGACAGCUUUUGAAC